rnacentral:rRNA from 1 species
AGUGAACGCUGGCGGCAUGCCUAACACAUGCAAGUCGAACGGCAGCACAGUAAGUGCUUGCUCUUACGGGUGGCGAGUGGCGGGCGGGUGAGGAAUACAUCGGAAUCUACUUUUUCGUGGGGGAGAACGAAGGGGAACUUACGCUAAUACCGCAUACGACCUACGGGUGAAAGCAGGGGAUCUUUGGACCUUGCGCGAGUGAAUGAGCCGAUGUCGGAUUAGCGAGUUGGCGGGGUAAAGGCCCACCAAGGCGACGAUCCGUAGCUGGUCUGAGAGGAUGAACAGCCACACUGGGACUGAGACACGGUCCAGACUCCUACGGGAGGCAGCAGUGGGGAAUAUUGGACAAUGGGCGCAAGCCUGAUCCAGCAAUGCCGCGUGGGUGAAGAAGGCCUUCGGGUUGUAAAGCCCUUUUGUUGGGAAAGAAAAGCAGCACGUUAAUACCCCGCUGUUCUGACGGUACCCAAAGAAUAAGCACCGGCUAACUACGUG